rnacentral:rRNA from 1 species
UACAGAGGGGGCAAGCGUUGUUCGGAAUUACUGGGCGUAAAGGGCGCGUAGGCGGCCUUCUAAGUCGAACGUGAAAUCCCCGGGCUCAACCCGGGAACUGCGUCCGAUACUGGAAGGCUUGAAUCCGGGAGAGGGAUGCGGAAUUCCAGGUGUAGCGGUGAAAUGCGUAGAGAUCCGGAGGAAGACCGGUGGCGAAGGCGGUCUGCUGGGCAGUUUCUGACACUGAUGCGCGACAGCGUGGGGAGCAAACAGG